UACGGAGGGUGCAAGCGUUAUCCGGAUUCACUGGGUUUAAAGGGUGCGUAGGCGGGUAGGUAAGUCCGUGGUGAAAUCUCUGAGCUUAACUCAGAAACUGCCGUGGAUACUAUUUGCCUUGAAUAUUGUGGAGGUGAGCGGAAUAUGUCAUGUAGCGGUGAAAUGCUUAGAUAUGACAUAGAACACCAAUUGCGAAGGCAGCUCACUACACAAUGAUUGACGCUGAGGCACGAAAGCGUGGGGAGUCAAACAGG
rnacentral:rRNA from 1 species